rnacentral:rRNA from 1 species
GACGAACGCUUGCGGCGUGCCUAAGAAAUGCAAGUCGAGCGGAGAAGUAGCAAUACUUCUUAGCGGCGAACGGUCGCGUAACACGUAAGCAACCUGCCGAAAAGACCGGGACAACAUCUCGAAAGGGGUGCUAAUACCGGAUGUGGCCACUUUCUCGCAUGGGAGAGUGAUUAAACCGAGCAAUCGGCUUUUCGAGGGGCUUGCGGCCUAUCAGCUAGAUGGUGGGGUAACGGCCUACCAUGGCGACGACGGGUAGCUGGUCUGAGAGGACGGCCAGCCGGACUGGGACUGAGAUACGGCCCAGACUCCUACGGGGGGCAGCAAUUAGGAAUCUUGCACAAUGGGCGAAAGCCUGAUGCAGCGACGCCGCGUGGAGGA